ACUCAAAUGAAUAGACGGGGGCCCGCACAAGCAGUGGAGCAUGUGGUUUAAUUCGAUGCAACGCGAAGAACCUUACCUGGGCUUGAACUGUGCUUGAAUAUAUUUGAAAGAGUAUAGCCGUAAGGCAAGUACAGAGGUGCUGCAUGGCUGUCGUCAGCUCGUGCCGUGAGGUGUUUGGUUAAGUCCAGCAACGAGCGCAACCCUUAUCGUUAGUUGCCAGCGAGUAAUGUCGGGAACUCUAGCGAGACUGCCGAGGUCAACUCGGAGGAAGGUGAGGAUGACGUCAAGUCCGCAUGGCCUUUAUGUCCAGGGCUACACACGUGCUACAAUGGUCGAUACAAAAGGUUGCCAAACCGCGAGGUGGAGCUAAUCCAAUAAAGUCGAUCUCAGUUCGGAUUGGAGUCUGCAACUCGACUCCAUGAAGUUGGAAUUGCUAGUAAUGGCGUGUCAGCUACAACGCCGUGAAUACGUUCCCGGGCCUUGUACACACCGCCCGU
rnacentral:rRNA from 1 species